GCUGUUCAACAAGAAGACAAACUGCAGGUGUUCCUCUACAGCAGCUCUCUGUUUGGGCUUUGGAAAGCUGUGUAUGAACCACACCUGUCAGGGUUUAACUGUUCCAGCAUCAGUUCCUCUGAUCAGAGUGACUGAUCUCACCCACACUCAUGGUCAACCUCUGCUGUCCCUCAGCUGUGGACCUUUGACCACCAUGACCAGGCGCAGCUGGAGGGGGUCCAACGUGACAGUAAAGUCACUGAGAGACAGUCAGACAGAGCACCUGGACCUCUUACUGACAG